rnacentral:lncRNA from 1 species
AUGACGGCUGCGGCACGUCUGGACUUUCAUUUCGGCGCCCAUGUAAACAGGUUAGAGCAUUCACUGCCUGCAUGGGACGUGCGUCAGGCGCUCUUCAGCCGCGAGUCAUCUAGAGUUUCGGCCUGGAGCCUAUUUUUCACUGGAAGUGGUAUUUUGUCUUCACAACUCUGAAGCAAAUUGCAGGCGCUCUGAACUGGAGCAAGGGUACUUUUUAUUGCAUGCUGGAUAUAAGUAAAUAAAUACAUUAUCUGGUUUAUUUACUGUUUGUUU